rnacentral:rRNA from 1 species
UACGUAGGUGGCAAGCGUUGUCCGGAUUUACUGGGCGUAAAGGGUGAGUAGGCGGUCUGUUAAGUUAUAGGUGAAAUCUCACGGCUCAACCGUGAAACUGCCUCUGAUACUGGCGGGCUAGAGAGAGGUUGCUGUUGGCGGAAUGUGUGGUGUAGCGGUGAAAUGCUUAGAGAUCACACAGAACACCGAUUGCGAAGGCAGCUAACAAAGCCUUUUCUGACGCUGAGGCACGAAAGCGUGGGGAGCAAACAGGAUUAGA